GGCCUUACACAUGCAAGUCGAGGGGUAACAGGAGAAAGCUUGCUUUCUCGCUGACGACCGGCGCACGGGUGCGUAACACGUAUGCAACCUACCUCUUACUGGGGAAUAGCCCAGAGAAAUUUGGAUUAAUACCCCAUAGUAUCACCAGUUCGCAUGUUCAGGUGAUUAAAGGUUACGGUAAGAGAUGGGCAUGCGCCCCAUUAGCUAGUUGGUGAGGUAAUGGCUCACCAAGGCUACGAUGGGUAGGGGGUCUGAGAGGACUAUCCCCCACACUGGUACUGAGACACGGACCAGACUCCUACGGGAGGCAGCAGUGAGGAAUAUUGCGCAAUGGACGAAAGUCUGACGCAGCCAUGCCGCGUGCAGGAUGACGGCGCUAUGCGUUGUAAACUGCUUUUAUAUGCCAAGAAACCUUCGGACGUGUCCGAAGCUGACGGUAGCAUAUGAAUAAGCACCGGCUAACUCCGUGCCAGCAGCCGCGGUAAUACGGAGGGUGCAAGCGUUAUCCGGAUUUAUUGGGUUUAAAGGGUCCGUAGGCGGAUCAUUAAGUCAGUGGUGAAAUCCGGCAGCUCAACUGUCGAACUGCCAUUGAUACUGAUGAUCUUGAAUAUGGUUGAAGUUGGCGGAAUAGGUCAUGUAGCGGUGAAAUGCUUAGAUAUGACCUAGAACACCGAUUGCGAAGGCAGCCAACUAAGCCAUCAUUGACGCUGAGGGACGAAAGCGUGGGUAGCGAACAGGAUUAGAUACCCUGGUAGUCCACGCCGUAAACGAUGAUUACUCGGUAUUGGCUUCGGUCAGUGCCCAAGCGAAAGUGAUAAGUAAUCCACCUGGGGA
rnacentral:rRNA from 1 species